UACGGAGGGUGCAAGCGUUAUCCGGAUUUACUGGGCUUAAAGGGUGCGUAGGCGGAUUUGUAAGUCCGAUGUGAAAUCUCCGGGCUUAACCCGGAAACUGCCUUGGAUACUAUAAGUCUUGAAUGACGUUGAGGUUAGCGGAAUAAGUCAUGUAGCGGUGAAAUGCUUAGAUAUGACAUAGAACAUCUAUUGCGAAGGCAGCUAACUAAGCGUAUAUUGACGCUGAGGCACGAAAGCGUGGGGAGCAAACAGG
rnacentral:rRNA from 1 species